rnacentral:lncRNA from 1 species
CAUGAAUCCCAGGAGGCAGAGAUCAUCGGAAGUCAUCCAGGAAGCUGCUAUCAGAAUUCAUAUUUGAUUUCAUUUGGGUGCAGAAUUCUCACUCUGGUGAAGACUGACAGGAUCAUCUACUAAAUACAAAGGAGUUAAAAUUCUCAGAAAGAAAAAUGGAAUUUUUUUGGAAUUCAGCUAGAGACAUGGAUUUGGAAAGAGAAAGAAAAAAUUAGUCUUUGUUUGUUUGUAAUGGCCAGUUGAUAAGAGAAAAGUGAUCCUAGAAAUUAUAGUCCCUGCUACUCAGUCCUGGAGCCACUGAGGGAAAAAUACAACCGAAACUUUCAAUACCUAAUGAAUUUUCUCCAACUUACGUGAGUGCGUGUAUAACGGCAUUAAGAUUUACACUUGGAAUGUCCCCUUACAUAUUUAAUUCUAAUUAGUUCAAAUACGUUCACUUCAGCAAACAUUAA